GAAAGAAAGAUUCCAUUUAAAUCCACUAAAGGUCAUCUUUCUUUGAAAUAUAGAUUACUCAUCUGCACAUUUUGAAGAAGCAAAGACUGGAGAAUAAACUCAAGAGAAACAGCUCUCCCUCCUCACUGACAAAAUACUGACAAAAUGUGAAAUCUUCUCGACUUCUGAAGAGUUUUCUGCAGUUAGAACUCAUAAGGUCACACAUGAUCUUCUGUAUUAUCAAGAAAACAAUAAGUGUGCAUCAGCGUGUGCAGAGCUCUAUUGAAAUGUGUGGAACAACGACAGUCUACUCAUCAAUCAAACUAUCCUGGAAGGUAGAGGUCUUUAUUUCAACAAAAUCAUUAAAAACACUAAGUUGUGAGCUGAGUGAAA